AGAGUUUGAUCCUGGCUCAGGACGAACGCUGGCGGCGUGCCUAACACAUGCAAGUCAACGAGAAAGGGGUAGCAAUAUCCCGAGUAAAGUGGCGCACGGGUGAGUAACACGUAGGCAAUCUGCCUUCAGGACGGGGAUAAUUUCGCGAAAGCGGGACUAAUACCCGAUUAUGCAGCGGCACCGCAUGGUGACAGUUGUUAAAAGCCGCAAGGCGCCUGGAGAUGAGCCUGCGUCCCAUUAGGUAGUUGGCGGGGUAACGGCCCACCAAGCCCGCGAUGGGUAGCUGGUCUGAGAGGAUGGCCAGCCACACUGGAACUGAGACACGGUCCAGACUCCUACGGGAGGCAGCAGUGAGGAAUAUUGCGCAAUGGCCGAAAGGCUGACGCAGCGACGCCGCGUGAGGGAUGAAGUCCGUUAGGAUGUAAACCUCUUUUGCAGGGGAUGAAGCUGCCGCUACAGGCGGCAGUCGACCGUACCCUGCGAAUAAGGGUCGGCUAACUACGUGCCAGCAGCCGCGGUAAUACGUAGGACCCGAGCGUUGUCCGGAUUUACUGGGUGUAAAGGGCGUGUAGGUGGGCGCCUAAGUCGAUGGUGAAAUCCUGCGGCUCAACCGUAGAAUUGCCGUCGAUACUGGGCGUCUUGAGUACGGCAGAGGGAGAUGGAAUUCAUGGUGUAGCGGUGAAAUGUGUAGAUAUCAUGAAGAACACCGGUAGCGAAGGCGGUCUCCUGGUCCGUUACUGACACUGAGGCGCGAAAGCGUGGGGAGCAAACAGGAUUAGAUACCCUGGUAGUCCACGCCUUAAACGAUGGGUACUAGGUGCUGGGCCGCAAGGUUCAGUGCCAAAGCUAACGCAUUAAGUACCCCACCUGGGGAGUACGAUCGCAAGGUUGAAACUCAAAGGAAUUGACGG
rnacentral:rRNA from 1 species